UCUGUGCAGGAUGUAAAGUGAAUAAAAUGAAUGGGGCAUUAACCUCCAACCGCUGAAUAUUAAUCAGCUUUUCCUACGAAAGAAAACACACAGCCUGCCAUACUAAAUAUUUUCAGCGCUUAUUGACAGGAUAUGAUUUCCUUUCUCCCUCAGCCCCGCUUCUCCCAGUCAAAGGCCCGAACACCGGACAAUGGUCAACUUGACACAGAUUAAUGUGUGAUUUGAAAGGGCUCGGGUUCCAGGCCAAGGGGUGGGUAGAAUUCUCAAUGUGUUGGACCCGAUGAAAUGAUAGGAUGUUAUCAAAGGCAUAGCUGUCUUCUCGUCCUUCCAACAAACACGAGCCAAGCUGAGCCCAAAGGGACUUCACAGAGAGACCACGCGUGGGACCUGAUAACCUCGAGGAAUCCUGAUACCAAGCCCGAGCUUGCCUUGGCAGGUGAAGUAAUACACAGUCCUGGAAGGUAUACUAAAAACCCUAGGAAGAAGACAGAGUGAUUCAGCCUGAAUAUGGAGAAGAGAAUCCAGGGACUCGAGGCAGUUCCUUAAUGGGAGAGCUUUAUUUGUAGGAUCUUAGCAUCCUUCCCCACUCUGCCCUUCUGCAUUCCGCUAGUACUGCCAGCGUCAUUGCUUUGGUCGUGGACUUUCCUGUGCCCAUCAUUCUCAAGCCAGAGCCAAAUACAGCUGUUGCCGUCUACUGGGACCAAACCACACAUCCAACCCCGUUCCAAGUCACCUCAUCAGAAAACCCAGAGCUUGGGCAACUCAGGACUCUUCUGCUGGAGCAGACUCUGUGGACCACUCUCUAGCAUGUGCAGGGUCCUGAAAUGGGAAAACCUGUUCACAAGGUGUCUUGUCUCCGUUGAUAAGGAUGUGGAUCCACACUCUCCAGCUUGGGGAAGGACAUCCACGAAGGAGCAAAAUCACCCGCAUAGCAAUUCCAGAAUCCACAGAGGGUGAGACGCCCUCUUUGAGAAUUUGUUUUUGGGAGUUGCAGGUAGAUCUCAAUGGUUAGAGCACUUGGUACUCUGCAGAGGACUUGGGUUUAUUUCUCAACUUCCACUCUGGCGGAUCACAACCACCUACAACUUCAGAUCCAGCACAUGUGACCCUCUCUCUGGUCUUUGUGUACACACACACACACACACACUUCAGCAAGGACAUGGAAAGUGGUCAGCUUCGAAAGGUACAUAUCUUCUCAAACUCUGAAGUCUUCUUCCAAGCCCUACUACUUCAUAAACCUGUUCCAGAAAGACAGACCAAACAGGAUUAAGACAUUUUUUUUCAGCAGCCCUCACACCAGCGCUACUUAAAAUGUCCACCCUCUAUCCUGGCAUUUAAUGCAAUUUUUUCCCUACAGGACAGAGAGUAAGGAUGAUAACUGAAAACGAGUGGGAUGUGACAGAGAUCUCUCCCACUCAGCCUCCCAAAAUUACCUGAAGCAUCCACGCACACGCAAUCACUUUCCCCAGUGAGAAAAUGGCACACUCUCAUGUAUUUCCUCAGAGACUGGGUUUUCCAGCACAGCCUUUCUUCGAGAAAAGGCUGCAUUCAAGGAAGCAACUGAGAGCACUUCGAGGCGGGGCUGUCCCUCUUUCAAAUGCAGACAGAAUUAGUUUGUUUCCAUUAACUCCUUAUCAAGUUCCCAGACUUUGAUUCACCACCACAAAAUAUAUUUUUAGAAGGGGCGGGGGUGGGGAGGGCUGGUAGAUUUUUCAGGAAAUAGCAAGUUAAGUUUUUUACCUACUGUGAAGAAAUCAUUUGGCAAGCCAGGAUGAAAUGCUUCUAACGUCAGUUUUUUGUUUUUCUGGGGGGAGAGGGUGUAUAGCAUGGAGGGUUGGAAGGAGGGAGGGGAGGAAGAGAGGGAGGGGGGAAAGAGGAAAGAGGAAGGAAGGAGGAAGGGAGGGAGGGAGGGAGAAUGGAGGGGAGAGAUAGAGCGCAUCCAACAAUGAGCUUUUCUAGAAGACUCCUACAGGAAGCCUCCCCAGUCAGUGGUCCACCCAGCAUUGCCUGCACUGAGAAUGUGAACCUUAGUAGAGCUGAGGUGGAAGCAAAGGGAGGAGUGGGGGUAUUGAGGUCUGAAGGAGGGAGAAGAACUUCAUUCCCUCCAUCUAUCCGAGUCUAAGGAGUGAGUCCUAGUUUUUCUUCUCCUUCGGAAAAGUAUUAGAUGAGCCUCUUUUCUCAUUGCUUUGAAGAAAUACCUAGAAAACUGGGGGAGUGCCUUGACUACCUACCUUCAUGCUCGUUGAUGUGGAAAGGCUGUGGGUUGCACCAUUUCCUGAGUUUGGUUCCUGAAUUGUAUGAGUAAAGAAAGCAAGCUGACUCCAAGCAUGCAUUCAUUCUCUCUGCCUUAACUAUGGAUAGGAGGAGUCGCUUUGAGCACCUGCCGCCUUGAUUUCCCCAUGAUGCUGGACUGUCUGGUGCUUUAAAGAUGACCAUCAUAGACUCUGGUAAUGGGAUAUCUGGUCCCCUGGUGGCGUCACUAAUCAGGGAGGGUAUGGAUCCUUUAAGAGGUGGAGCCUUGCUAGGAGACAUGUGUCACUGGGGGCAGGCUUUGGAAAUGUAUAGCCUGCCCCAACUUCAAAUCCACCUGCUCUGUUUCACUUUUGGUUGACAAUGUGGACUCUGGGCUUCCUACUCCAGCCUCUUGUGGCUGUGCCUCCCCCACCACAAUGGACUGUCCCUUACUCUGGAACCAUAGACCAAUAUAAACUCUUCCCUCCAGAAGUCCCUUUGGGCCAUGGCGUCUUUCUCACAUGAGCAGAAAGUAACUAAUACCGACCCUGGGACUGUGAGCUGAAAUGCCUUCUUUCCCUCCUAAGUUGCUGUGUUUUAUCAAAGUUAUGGAAAUAGGACCAAAUGACUAAACCCUCUUCCCAAAAGCUUUCUCCUUCCCUUUAUGUCAAUGUCACUGUGGAGUAUCAUAAGCCCAUAUCUCGUCUGCUAAACCUCCACACCUCACUGCUCUUGGCAAGGCAGGCUGUACUGAACAAGUGAGUUUUUCACCUUGUAUUAACCUGUUGUCUUUUCCCUACGAUGCAUCCUUUGAAAUCUUAGAUAAUGUCUACAUUUCGUUGAUAUCACAAAUCCCCUUUCUAGGCCAUUACACCACAUGGAGAAAGUAUAAAGAGUAGAUUGGCAGCCCCCACAGCAUGGUGUCCAUGGUCAGAUACAUUCCUCAGCCCUCCUGUGAGGAGGUGUCAAGGUGUGGUAUGAAAAUGGCGAUACCUAGUUCCCAACGUGUGGUCAGUAUUAAAUGAGCCCAUCAACGUAAGACUCUUAGGAGGCAGGCAUGUGCACUAAACACACAUCUGGUUGCUGUAAUGGUUCUGACUAUCCUUAUUUUGUUGAGUUUCGCCACCUCGGUAUCUAUUUGGUAAACCUUAGCUAAUUCACCAGCCCUUAUGGAAUAAGUCCUUUGUGUUUAAGCACGGGGUCACUGGGCAGAGUAUCAGCAAACUUCUCCUCAGAGUGGUUACCAACCUACUAAGAAAAGAGUAGAACUGCAGGAGAGAAUCUUUGCUUCAGACCCACUUAAGCAAGCCAUGUCUGGAUGCUUGAGAGGCCAGCUUUUUCCCAUUCUGAGAACACAUGGCUCCCAUUAGCUUACUGAUACUGACAUAUCCGAGCCUUCCAAACUGCUCUGGGCCUCUGAUGAGUGAAAGGUUUGCACGCCUAACAAGGAAAAGAGGGCUGCACAGGCAAAGAAAUGCUGCCAGGAGUGGGGUGUGGAGGUGUUGAGUUUAGGUAGGAGACGGAAUUAGGCGUUGCUUUCAAUGACUGACCUGUCCACACCUGUCCAUAAACUAGCCACACCUGGUGAAGUUUCUAUGGCUGCCCCGAUGCAGACACUGGUGCGAGUCUACAAGCCUCCGUUACUCAGCAGGCGAGUCCAGUCAAACAGAGAACGUCGAAGGUAAACGCACGGCGUCCGUGAGGUCUCUAAUCCAAAGCAAACCCUGGGUGAAAAGCACAAAUGCUCCUUUUAUUUUGUGUGCUAAGGGCAUCCCUGCCUAGUUGGGCUGUGGAAAAAACAAGCCUGAAUGCUAAUUAAUUUGCAGUUGGAACGUGUAUGGUGGGAAUUCAAUCCUAUGAUAACCGUUAUCAUCAGCUUCCUAACGUCAAAGCCACAGGGUCCACCUUUACACAGCCCAGAGACUCGAGACAUCUCAUCAGACAGAAGAAAUGACAGAGCCAAACCCGACCUGAGAAAUUAGGACGAAUGCUUUGUUCUAGAUUGUAUCCCCAAGGGAAUGGGGCUUUUUUUUUCUUUCUCUCGAUUAAGGAGGAGGACCUAUGUACUCUGGCCGUUUUAUCUCUCAAGGCACUUGUAGUUUGAAACAAUAAGGCAAAGGCAAGCAAGCAAUGGUGGUUAAAGAGUCCUGAGGAGACAUUUGCUUCCAGUUGGAGGCACAUAACCUUUAUCCUGCACCAAGUCAUUUGGGUCCCAUGAGCUCGAUAUCCCUACCGAGCUAGGAGAAGCACUAUUUCUUGCCUGCUUUACCUGUGAAGAAAUCAGACCGAAAGAAUUAAUUCCCCUCCAUUUGAAUCCUGACUCCUGCCAAAAUCCUACUUAAAGCCCAAGAAAAUCUCUCUACCCUGUGUCUUCAUGCCCUCAUCCACCAAAUGUGAAAAAUAAAAUAAAACCACUUGCCACUGUUGGGCUUCAUGAGGUAACGAGAUGCCUACUAGUGUUAAAGUGCUGGCUGAUCCCCUGACAGACAGACGGAGGUUUUUACAAAGUGUUUGCCGCUGUGAUUAUGAGGAAGGGGGGCAGGAAAAGUUGAUGAUUUAGAACUGAAAAUAUCUGUAGGAAGAAAUGACCAACUUACUUUACUCACUUGUUCGGGACUCAGGGGUUAUCUAUGAGUUCCCUUGGGCUUCCCAAAUGCUAGAACCAAGAGAGCUGUGGGCAUGCCCAGACAACUGGUCACCCUCCACAAAGUUGGUCUGGAUAGGUCUCAUGUAAUAGAAGGAAUUUUAGUUAUUCUGCGGAGGAAAGGUUUCACAGCUGGUCCAACUAGAUAGUGUUGUUAAAUGUGGACUUUUAAGCCAUAGACAGCAGCACUACCUGGAGGUUUGCCUUAUAGGGGGGCAAUGGCAGUAUGUCAGGUAAUGAAAUAUCUGACCCUCCCUUUGCUACCUGGACUGUGUUUUUAUUGUUGUUGUUAACUACCAUUCUAGUGUUUUAGGGAGUCUCUCCCUUGUUUUAUAGCUGCUAUUCUCCCAUGCGGAUUCGAAGCACAUUCUGAUGUGCUCACCCCUCCACUUUUGUUUUUCUAGUCUACCUCUUGGAGGGAUGGAUGCCGUCUGCACGAUCAACUCUAAAACAACCAAGACUCACUUUCUUGGAGAGCUUUGUUGUAGGUUGAAUAUCUCUAAUCUGAAAACACACAUUCUUAAGAUGCUCCAAACGCUGGCCC